rnacentral:rRNA from 1 species
UACGGAGGGUGCAAGCGUUAUCCGGCUUUACUGGGUUUAAAGGGUGCGCAGGCGGAUAUGUAAGUCAGUGGUGAAAUCUCUAGGCUUAACCUGGAAAUUGCCGUUGAUACUAUAUAUCUUGAAUGCUGUGGAGGUAAGCGGAAUAUGUCAUGUAGCGGUGAAAUGCUUAGAUAUGACAUAGAACACCUAUUGCGAAGGCAGCUUACUACGCAGAUAUUGACGCUCAUGCACGAAAGCGUGGGGAUCAAACAGG